rnacentral:rRNA from 1 species
AUUGAACGCUGGCGGCAGGCCUAACACAUGCAAGUCGAACGGUAACAGGAAGCAGCUUGCUGCUUUGCUGACGAGUGGCGGACGGGUGAGUAAUGUCUGGGAAACUGCCUGAUGGAGGGGGAUAACUACUAGAAACGGUAGCUAAUACCGCAUAACGUCGCAAGACCAAAGAGGGGGACCUUCGGGCCUCUUGCCAUCGGAUGUGCCCAGAUGGGAUUAGCUUGUUGGUGGGGUAACGGCUCACCAAGGCGACGAUCCCUAGCUGGUCUGAGAGGAUGACCAGCCACACUGGAACUGAGACACGGUCCAGACUCCUACGGGAGGCAGCAGUGGGGAAUAUUGCACAAUGGGCGCAAGCCUGAUGCAGCCAUGCCGCGUGUAUGAAGAAGGCCUUCGGGUUGUAAAGUACUUUCAGCGGGGAGGAAGGGAGUAAAGUUAAUACCUUUACUCAUUGACGUUACCCGCAGAAGAAGCACCGGCUAACUCCGUG